AUCCUUCAGGUUCUGACAUGUGAUGAGUGGGGUUUUCACAUGCCUGUGUGACAUGUGCCAUCCUUAACUGUUAUGACAGGGCACAGUACUGUCGUUUUAAUA
ensembl:snoRNA